UGUUUGUAGAUGUUGGGGUGUUGGUGGCAUAAAUUAGUUAGUUGCCGCGUUGGUCUGAGCAUUUCAGAAUUAAGCCCAUUGUGUCAAGUGCUUCAGGAUACUUGAACCUAAUAAAGCGUUUACAUCCGGAGGUCAAUAUGAUUUUCGUCUACUUGCCUAAGAUUUCAAGGAAUUAUUAUCCCCGGAAAAGCGAUCCGCCAAUCGACUAUCAACUGGGUUCUUACUUGGUGCUAGGUUAUCAGAGGCUCAUGGCUAAGGAAACUUGCUCAGUGUUUCACCCUGCUGGGAAUCAAACCCAGGUCUCUCACUUGCGAGGCGAGUGCUCUAACGACUGAGCUACAAGACUCCACUCCAGGACUGUGUUUUUUGUGGGCAAAAUGCAGAAGCCAAUUGUGUGCAUGUGUGUGUGUAUAUGUAUGUAUGUAUGUAUGUAUGUAUGU